CCUGCGUCCAACACCGGACGACCGUAGUCCCACCACAGCCAACAACGAAUUGCACGCCCCGGCCCUGUGGGUAUUGCACCGUCUAUUGUGUCUAUUGCGUCUGGUGCAACCCAGGCCGCAGGUGUGGCUGAUUGAUUUCGAAAGUAGUUCUACCUUCCGCUUAUCGAAUAAUUGUUGUCCCUUCUGCAUUACUUCGUCGAUUUCGUAAGCUGCAGUGUCUGUAUUUUUAAAAAUACGAUUGUUUCCCUCGUCUGUAUUUUACCAUGUGAUUUCUUUCAUUGCACAGGUCUAUAAUUGUAUUGAAAUUUCGAUUGCUUAUUGUAUUGACUUUAAUAAUGUAAAGUUUCCUGAAUUAAUG
rnacentral:lncRNA from 1 species